rnacentral:rRNA from 1 species
CGAUGAAGGACGUGAUAAGCUGCGAUAAGCUUCGGGGAGUUGCACGUAAACUUUGAUCCGAAGAUUUCCGAAUGAGGAAACUCACUUAGAGUAAUGUCUAAGUAUCAUUAAGUGAAUACAUAGCUUAAUGAGGGGAACUCAGGGAACUGAAACAUCUAAGUACCUGAAGGAAGAGAAAGAAAUUCGAUUCCGUAAGUAGCGGCGAGCGAACGCGGAUUAGCCCAAACCAAUAAAGUUUUCUUUAUUGGGGUUGCGGACAUAUCAUAACGAAGAGGUAUCGUAAUUGAAGAGGUUUGGAAAGACCCACCACAGAAGGUAAUAGUCCUGUAUGUUAAACGAGAAGACUUCAGAUAUGAUCCAGAGUACCACGGGACACGUGAAACCCUGUGGGAAGCAGGAGGGACCACCCUCCAAGGCUAAAUACUACCUAGUGACCGAUAGCGUAUAGUACCGUGAGGGAAAGGUGAAAAGAACCCCGGGAGGGGAGUGAAAUAGAACCUGAAACCCUGCACUUACAAGCUGUGGAAGCACAUUUCUUGUGUGACCGCGUACUUUUUGUAGAACGGGCCAACGAGUUACGUUAAGUAGCAAGGUUAAGCACUUAAGGUGCGGAGCCGUAGCGAAAGCGAGUUUUAACUGAGCGUUCAGUUACUUGACGUAGACCCGAAACCGGGCGACCUACCCAUGAGCAGGAUGAAGCGAAAGUAAAAUUUCGUGGAGGUCCGAACCCACGAGCGUUGAAAAGCUCGGGGAUGACUUGUGGGUAGCGGUGAAAUUCCAAUCGAGCCCGGAGAUAGCUGGUUCUCCCCGAAAUAGCUUUAGGGCUAGCCUCAAGGUGAGAGAUACGGAGGUAGAGCACUGAAUGUCCUAGGGGGUAUUGCACCUACCGAAGACUAUCAAACUCCGAAUGCCGUCAUCUUAUACUUGGGAGUCAGACUGUGGGUGAUAAGAUUCAUAGUCGAAAGGGCAACAGCCCAGAUCGUCAGCUAAGGUCCCUAAAUGUAAGUUAAGUGGUAAAGGAUGUGGGAUUGCACAGACAACCAGGAUGUUGGCUUAGAAGCAGCCACUCAUUCAAAGAGUGCGUAAUAGCUCACUGGUCGAGUGAUCCUGCGCCGAAGAUUUCCGGGGCUAAAACUUACUACCGAAGCUACGGCAUCAGUAAUGAUGGGUAGGGGAGCUUCCCAUACGGGUUGAAGCAUGACCGUAAGGACAUGUGGACAGUAUGGGAGUGAGAAUGUUGGCAUGAGUAGCGAGAUGUGGGUGAGAAUCCCACAGGCCGUAAACCCAAGGUUUCCAGGGGAAGGUUCGUCCGCCCUGGGUUAGUCGGGACCUAAGCUGAGGCCGAAAGGCGUAGGUGAUGGACAACAGGUUGAUAUUCCUGUACUACCGAUAACCGUUUGAGAGAAGGGAUGACACAGUAGGAUAAGCUAAGCACACUGUUGGUUAUGUGUGCCCAAGCAUUGAGGCAGUCAAAGU